GCCAGUGUGGUGUAGUGGUUUGAACAUUGGAUUACAACUCUGGAGACCAGGGUUCAAAUCCUGGCUUAGACA